GACGAACGCUGGCGGCGUGCUCAACACAUGCAAGUCGAGCGAUGAAGUUUCUUCGGAAAUGGAUUAGCGGCGAACGGGUGAGGAGCACGUGAAGAAUCUGCCCUCCACUUUGGGAUAACACAGGGAAACCUGUGCUAAUACCGAAUAUUGAAACAUAAGUGGCAUCACUGAGUUUUGAAAGAAUUUCGAUGGAGGAUGACUUCGCGGCCUAUCAGCUAGUUGGUGAGGUAAUGGCUCACCAAGGCAACGACGGGUAGCCGGCCUGAGAGGGCGACCGGCCACACUGGGACUGAGACACGGCCCAGACUCCUACGGGAGGCAGCAGUGGGGAAUAUUGGGCAAUGGAGGAAACUCUGACCCAGCGACGCCGCGUGCGGGAUGAAGGCCUUCGGGUUGUAAACCGCUUCCAGUAGGGAAGAAGCGAAAGUGACGGUACCUACAAAAGAAGCACCGGCUAACUAUGUGCCAGCCGCCGCUGUAA
rnacentral:rRNA from 1 species